rnacentral:rRNA from 1 species
UACGAAGGGUGCAAGCGUUACUCGGAAUUACUGGGCGUAAAGGGUGCGUAGGUGGUCGUUUAAGUCCGUUGUGAAAUCCCUGGGCUCAACCUGGGAAUGGCAGUGGAUACUGGACGGCUAGAAUGCGGUAGAGGGUAGUGGAAUUCCCGGUGUAGCAGUGAAAUGCGUAGAGAUCAGGAGGAACACCGGUGGCGAAGGCGGGGUCUCUGGGCCGUAACUGACGCUGGAGGAGCGAAAAGCCGUGGGGGAGCGAAACAGG